GCGCUCUUAGCUCAAUCGGAUAGAGCAACGACCUUCUAAGCCGUAGGUUACAGGUUCAAAUCCUGUAGGGCGCA
rnacentral:tRNA from 1 species